GAUCCUGGCUCAGGAUGAACGCUGGCGGCGUGCCUAAUACAUGCAAGUCGAACGCAUCACUUCGGUGAUGAGUGGCGAACGGGUGAGUAAAAGAUAAGGAACCUGCCCUAGGCAGGGGGAUAACGACCGGAAACGGACGCUAAAACCGCAUAGGCUGGGAACUCGCAUGAGAAACCAGUUAAAUAUCCUUUAGGGGAUAGGCAAAGGAGGGACUUAUCACGCAUUAGCUAGUUGGUGGGGUAACGGCCUACCAAGGCGACGAUGCGUAGCCGGCCUGAGAGGGCGGACGGCCACACUGGGACUGAGACACGGCCCAGACUCCUACGGGAGGCAGCAGUAGGGAAUUUUCGGCAAUGGGCGAAAGCCUGACCGAGCAACGCCGCGUGAACGAAGAAGGUCUUCGGAUUGUAAAGUUCUGUUAUAGAGGAAGAACGGUGUACGUAGGAAAUGACGUACAAGUGACGGUACUCUGUGAGGAAGCCACGGCUAACUACGUGCCAGCAGCCGCGGUAAUAC
rnacentral:rRNA from 1 species